rnacentral:rRNA from 1 species
AUUGAACGCUGGCGGCAUGCUUUACACAUGCAAGUCGAACGGUAACAGGGAAAAGCUUGCUUUUCUGCUGACGAGUGGCGAACGGGUGAGUAAUACAUCGGAACGUGCCCUGUAGUGGGGGAUAACUACUCGAAAGAGUGGCUAAUACCGCAUACAACCUGAGGGUAAAAGUGGGGGACCGCAAGGCCUCACGCUAUAGGAGCGGCCGAUGGAAGAUUAGGUAGUUGGUAGGGUAAAGGCCUACCAAGCCGACGAUCUUUAGCGGGUCUGAGAGGACGAUCCGCCACACUGGGACUGAGACACGGCCCAGACUCCUACGGGAGGCAGCAGUGGGGAAUUUUGGACAAUGGGGGCAACCCUGAUCCAGCAAUGCCGCGUGAGUGAAGAAGGCCCUUCGGGUUGUAAAGCUCUUUUGUUUGGGAAGAAAUCCCUAAGGAUAAUACCCCUUGGGGGAUGACGGUACCAAAAGAAUAAGCACCGGCUAACUACGUGCCAGCAGCCGCGGUAAUACGUAGGGUGCAAGCGUUAAUC